rnacentral:rRNA from 1 species
GCGACGGUUGUCCCGGUUUAAGCGUGUAGGCUGGUUUUCCAGGCAAAUCCGGAAAAUCAAGGCUGAGGCGUGAUGACGAGGCACUACGGUGCUGAAGCGACAAAUGCCCUGCUUCCAGGAAAAGCCUCUAAGCAUCAGGUAACAUCAAAUCGUACCCCAAACCGACACAGGUGGUCAGGUAGAGAAUACCAAGGCGCUUGAGAGAACUCGGGUGAAGGAACUAGGCAAAAUGGUGCCGUAACUUCGGGAGAAGGCACGCUGAUAUGUAGGUGAAGCGACUUGCUCGUGGAGCUGAAAUCAGUCGAAGAUACCAGCUGGCUGCAACUGUUUAUUAAAAACACAGCACUGUGCAAACACGAAAGUGGACGUAUACGGUGUGACGCCUGCCCGGUGCCGGAAGGUUAAUUGAUGGGGUUAGCGGUAACGCGAAGCUCUUGAUCGAAGCCCCGGUAAACGGCGGCCGUAACUAUAACGGUCCUAAGGUAGCGAAAUUCCUUGUCGGGUAAGUUCCGACCUGCACGAAUGGCGUAAUGAUGGCCAGGCUGUCUCCACCCGAGACUCAGUGAAAUUGAACUCGCUGUGAAGAUGCAGUGUACCCGCGGCAAGACGGAAAGACCCCGUGAACCUUUACUAUAGCUUGACACUGAACAUUGAGCCUUGAUGUGUAGGAUAGGUGGGAGGCUUUGAAGUGUGGACGCCAGUCUGCAUGGAGCCGACCUUGAAAUACCACCCUUUAAUGUUUGAUGUUCUAACGUGGGCCCCUUACCGGGGUUGCGGACAGUGUCUGGUGGGUAGUUUGACUGGGGCGGUCUCCUCCUAAAGAGUAACGGAGGAGCACGAAGGUUGGCUAAUCCUGGUCGGACAUCAGGAGGUUAGUGCAAUGGCAUAAGCCAGCUUGACUGCGAGCGUGACGGCGCGAGCAGGUGCGAAAGCAGGUCAUAGUGAUCCGGUGGUUCUGAAUGGAAGGGCCAUCGCUCAACGGAUAAAAGGUACUCCGGGGAUAACAGGCUGAUACCGCCCAAGAGUUCAUAUCGACGGCGGUGUUUGGCACCUCGAUGUCGGCUCAUCACAUCCUGGGGCUGAAGUAGGUCCCAAGGGUAUGGCUGUUCGCCAUUUAAAGUGGUACGCGAGCUGGGUUUAGAACGUCGUGAGACAGUUCGGUCCCUAUCUGCCGUGGGCGCUGGAGAACUGAGGGGGGCUGCUCCUAGUACGAGAGGACCGGAGUGGACGCAUCACUGGUGUUCGGGUUGUCAUGCCAAUGGCACUGCCCGGUAGCUAAAUGCGGAAGAGAUAAGUGCUGAAAGCAUCUAAGCACGAAACUUGCCCCGAGAUGAGUUCUCCCUGACUCCUUGAGAGUCCUGAAGGAACGUUGAAGACGACGACGUUGAUAGGCCGGGUGUGUAAGCGCAGCGAUGCGUUGAGCUAACCGGUACUAAUGAACCGUGAGGCUUAACCUU